GAUGAACGCUAGCUACAGGCUUAACACAUGCAAGUCGAGGGGCAGCGCAGUGUAGCAAUACAUGGGCGGCGACCGGCGCACGGGUGCGUAACGCGUAUCCAACCUUCCCGUUACUCAGGGAUAGCCUUCCGAAAGGGAGAUUAAUACCUGAUGGUGUUCAAAUUCCGCAUGUUAUUUGAACUAAAGAUUUAUCGGUAACGGAUGGGGAUGCGUGACAUUAGAUAGUAGGCGGGGUAACGGCCCACCUAGUCUACGAUGUCUAGGGGUUCUGAGAGGAAGGUCCCCCACACUGGAACUGAGACACGGUCCAGACUCCUACGGGAGGCAGCAGUGAGGAAUAUUGGUCAAUGGUCGGAAGACUGAACCAGCCAAGUAGCGUGAAGGAUGAAGGUUCUAUGGAUUGUAAACUUCUUUUAUACGGGAAUUAAACCUCCCACGUGUGGGAGCUUGUAUGUACCGUAUGAAUAAGCAUCGGCUAACUCCGUGCCAGCAGCCGCCGUAAGAC
rnacentral:rRNA from 1 species